rnacentral:rRNA from 1 species
AUUGAACGCUGGCGGCAUGCUUUACACAUGCAAGUCGAACGGCAGCGCGGGCUUCGGCCUGGCGGCGAGUGGCGAACGGGUGAGUAAUGCAUCGGAACGUGCCCAGUAGUGGGGGAUAGCCCGGCGAAAGCCGGAUUAAUACCGCAUACGACCUGAGGGUGAAAGCGGGGGACCGAAAGGCCUCGCGCUAUUGGAGCGGCCGAUGUCGGAUUAGCUAGUUGGUGGGGUAAAGGCUUACCAAGGCGACGAUCCGUAGCUGGUCUGAGAGGACGACCAGCCACACUGGGACUGAGACACGGCCCAGACUCCUACGGGAGGCAGCAGUGGGGAAUGUUGGACAAUGGGGGCAACACUGAUCCAGCCAUGCCGCGUGCGGGAAGAAGGCCUUCGGGUUGUAAACCGCUUUUGUUCGGGAAGAAAUCCUCUGGGCUAAUACCCCGGGGGGAUGACGGUACCGGAAGAAUAAGCACCGGCUAACUACGUG